ACAAUGCGGGACUAUCAGUCUUGCAAUUGGAUUGAGAACAAUGUACAACUCUUAUCGAUAAGCCAUUGGAGGGCAAGUCUGGUGCCAGCAGCCGCGGUAAUUCCAGCUCCAAUAGCGUAUAUUAACGUUGUUGCAGUUAAAAAGCUCGUAGUUGAAGUGUGGGUGAUCGCUGUUGUGAGACUUCGGUCUCUCGACAGUAAGUCACCCCCUUCCAGUAUCCAGUAGUGGGUAUUCAGUUACUUACUAUUGUGUGUUGGUCAUUUACUGUGAGAAAAUUAGAGUGUUCAAAGCAGGCGUUUGCUUGAAUAGAUUAGCAUGGAAUAAUAAUUGAAGGCUUUCGUGUUCGAUUUGAUUGGUUUGUUCAUGGAAGCAAGGUUAAAAGGAACAGUUGGGGGUAUUCAUAUUCACUAGUUAGAGGUGAAAUUCUCGGAUUUAUGGAA
rnacentral:rRNA from 1 species